CGCACCUUGCGCCCCUUGGUACUCCGAGAGGCAUGCCUGUUUGAGUGUCAUCAAAUCAUCAAGACUGACAGGGGGUUCCUCAAUCUCCGUCAGGCUCUCCUUGGACAUUGGAGCGUGCGGGGGUGGACAGGGCUCUCGAGCCUGUUGAUCCCGCUCCUCCCGAAUUGCAUCAGCACUCGUCCAUCUGUGCGGGACAACUCCAGUGCCGGCGUGUUAAGUGGUCAACGUCGUGUCUGGGGGGGGCACACUUUUGGACUUUUUGCUUCGAACGGUUGCACAUGUGCGACAAGCUUUUCUUGACAAUUUGACCUCAAAUCAGGCAGGAUCACCCGCUGAACUUAA
rnacentral:misc_RNA from 1 species